AUUGAACGCUGGCGGCAGGCCUAACACAUGCCAGUCGAACGGUAACAGGAAGAAGCUUGCUUCUUUGCUGACGAGUGGCGGACGGGUGAGUAAUGUCUGGGAAACUGCCUGAUGGAGGGGGAUAACUACUGGAAACGGUAGCUAAUACCGCAUAACGUCGCAAGACCAAAGAGGGGGACCUUCGGGCCUCUUGCCAUCGGAUGUGCCCAGAUGGGAUUAGCUAGUAGGUGGGGUAACGGCUCACCUAGGCGACGAUCCCUAGCUGGUCUGAGAGGAUGACCAGCCACACUGGAACUGAGACACGGUCCAGACUCCUACCGGAGGCAGCAGUGGGGAAUAUUGCACAAUGGGCGCAAGCCUGAUGCAGCCAUGCCGCGUGUAUGAAGAAGGCCUUCGGGUUGUAAAGUACUUUCAGCGGGGAGGAAGGGAGUAAAGUUAAUACCUUUGCUCAUUGACGUUACCCGCAGAAGAAGCACCGGCUAACUCCGUG
rnacentral:rRNA from 1 species